CCCUUAGAUGUCCUGGGCUGCACGCGCGCUACACUGAUGUGUCCAGUAAGCACCUAACCUCUUCCGAAAGGAACGGGUAACCUUUGCAAAGCACAUCGUGAUGGGGAUAGAUGAUUGCAAUUCUUCAUCUUCAACGAGGAAUGCCUAGUAAACGCAAGUCAUCAGCUUGCAUUGAUUACGUCCCUGCCCUUUGUACACACCGCCCGUCGCUCCUACCGAUUGAAUGAUCCGAUGAAUACCAUGGAUUGAGAGUACGAAUAGGUUCGCUUAUUUCUGCUGCUCGAGAAGUGGAGUAAAUCUUAUCAUUUAGAGGAAGGAGAAGUCGUAACA
rnacentral:rRNA from 1 species